rnacentral:rRNA from 1 species
GACGAACGCUGGCGGCGUGCUUAACACAUGCAAGUCGAACGAAGUGGCGAACGGGUGAGUAACGCGUAAUCAACCUGCCAUUCAGAAGGGGACAACAGUUGGAAACGACUGCUAAUACCGCAUACUGACGUAGGGGAUUCCGUCUGAUUAGCUAGUUGGAGGGGUAACGGCCCACCAAGGCGCUGAUCAGUAGCCUGCCUGAGAUGAGUGACGGCGACAUGGGGCCUGAGAAACGGCCCAGAUCCCUACGGGAGGCAGCAGUGGGGAAUCUUCCGCAAUGGACGAAAGUCUGACGGAGCAACGCCGCGUGAGGGAUGACGGCCUUCGGGUUGUAAAGCUCUGUUAAUCGGGACGCGGUACCGGAAUAGAAAGCCACGGCUAACUACGUGCCAGCAGCCGCGGUAAUAC